GACGGCCUUCGGGUUGUAAACCUCUUUCAGUAGGGAAGAAGCGAAAGUGACGGUACCUGCAGAAGAAGCGCCGGCUAACUACGUGCCAGCAGCCGCGGUAAUACGUAGGGCGCAAGCGUUAUCCGGAAUUAUUGGGCGUAAAGAGCUCGUAGGCGGUUUGUCGCGUCUGCCGUGAAAGUCCGGGGCUCAACUCCGGAUCUGCGGUGGGUACGGGCAGACUAGAGUGAUGUAGGGGAGACUGGAAUUCCUGGUGUAGCGGUGAAAUGCGCAGAUAUCAGGAGGAACACCGAUGGCGAAGGCAGGUCUCUGGGCAUUAACUGACGCUGAGGAGCGAAAGCAUGGGGAGCGAACAGGAUUAGAUACCCUGGUAGUCCAUGCCGUAAACGUUGGGCACUAGGUGUGGGGGACAUUCCACGUUUUCCGCGCCGUAGCUAACGCAUUAAGUGCCCCGCCUGGGGAGUACGGCCGCAAGGCUAAAACUCAAAGGAAUUGACGGGGGCCCGCACAAGCGGCGGAGCAUGCGGAUUAAUUCGAUGCAACGCGAAGAACCUUACCAAGGCUUGACAUGGACCAGACCGCCGCAGAGAUGUGGUUUCCCCUUUGGGGCUGGUUCACAGGUGGUGCAUGGUUGUCGUCAGCUCGUGUCGUGAGAUGUUGGGUUAAGUCCCGCAACGAGCGCAACCCUCGUUCUAUGUUGCCAUCACGUU
rnacentral:rRNA from 1 species